CCACGCGUCCGCAGCGACGCCAGCGCGAUACUCCCUUGCCCGGCUAUAUAUAGGCCUUCCUCGAGCCUUGAGCACACCAGAAGCCUUCCCUCACUCCCAGCUCCCUCCCCAAUCACUCUCCCGAGCUUAAAGAGCUCUCUUCGCUGCCCAUGGCCACCGUAGCCGCCGCGGUGCUCCGCUCGAAUCCGAGCAGCCCUGAUCUCCUCCCCUCCUGAUUCCACCUCCAGAGGCCCCCAUCCACACCCCGGAGCCGCCCGAGCCCCCUCCCUCCUCCUCUGGUGGCUGUUGGCCGUGAGCCCCGUCGGUGCCCGUCGCCACCGUCCGCCAUGUCCUCGCUCCCUCUCGCCUCGGUCCUCCCCGGAGCCCGUGCUCUCCGCAGACGGGUGCAGCCACUCCUGCUGAGCUCGCCCAUAGGUCGAGCGAGGCGGGGGAUGGCCGGAGCCGGCCGGACGAGCCCCCGCGCCGGCGACCUCCUUCUGGACUGCGGGCGAGGCGAAGACGACGUUGACCCCGUCCCUGGGCCCCGCCUGUCGGCCUCUCUGCGCUGACCGGGCCGGCCUGCUAACGUGGUUGAGUGGAGGCGUACUCUGUGGAGUACGUUUUCGCUUAACAAAAGCGUAAUCAACUUCUUCGUCGUGCGAGAAUGCGUUUUCCCUUCUGGAAAACGUAUUUUCAGAAAAGGCGCAUUCUGUUUUUCCUGCUGAGGGCCUGUUUGUGAUGAUUUUAUUACAGAUAAGUCCCUGGAAGAAAAACCCUUAUAAUUUUUUGCUCACAACUCCAAAUGAGCCCCUCCGAGAGAGAACUGUUUCCGGCAAAUCUUUCCGCGGCUUCACCACACUUCUCCCCGGUGCCUUCUUCAUCCCCAGGAAAGCCACAAUACCCACUUGCAUGAUGUUCAUGUAGUAGCCAUGGUUUUCAACUUGAACAUUUAUUAAAUGAUUGCUUGUUUAAAAUAUGGUUAUAGUUGUCUCGGUAAUGCUUAUGGAUAAAUGCUUACUUUCUUGCUAUGUUGUUAUGCACCGGAUUUGUCAUGCCCUACUAGUUGUUAGUAUUCCUCUCAUAUGCUUAUGCUUGCUAGUAGUACAUAUUGAUGUUGGUAAUGGUCUUCAGUGCAUGACUGCCGUCGGUCCCGAGUACCGUUGUUAUGCAUGUCCCAUUGUAUCUAGUUGGUUAAAUGCUUGCAUGGUGGCAUUGUUGAUAUGUUCUUGCAUGAUAUUUAUUGUUGAUGCUAAUGGUCAUGCUAUGUUUCAUAGAAGUAUGUACUUAUGAUGUUCAUGCUAGUCCGUAUGCCAUGUUUCGUUGGAUAUAAUUCAUUGUUGAUAUGGUGGAUAGUUAUGUGGUUCUCUCAUGAUUAUGUUGAUAUCAUGCUCAUGCAUUGUAAUUGCAUCAUGUUAUUUUAUCAUGGCUCAGCAUUUUGCAUUCAAGUUUAACCGGAUUAAAUUGAACUUGAACAACUGUUGGCUGAGUCAUGGUGCCACCAUAUCGAAACUGACCAGUGCAACCGCACUUGCCGAUAUGGGAAGGUCCUAACUGGGUCUAUUGUCGUGCCUCCCGCCGGUGCCUCCAACUAGGGAAGGUUAUGGGCGUGCUUACCCUGAUCAGGUAGGCGGACAUAACCUUGUGUGCCCGUAGUUUGGAUGAUAAGCGCUUUUGUCCCCAAGUGGGAUCGUUUUUGCCAUGACGGUGGUCGGUGUGUCUUUGGUAGACACGGGGCCACCCAGGACUAGCCCAUUGGUGAUUGGGUCAGAGUGGCCGAGAGAGUGUCAUGGAAGUAGACCGGUUCUGUCGGAACGCCGUUGGUCCACCCUAAUGGGAGUGCGAGGCCAUGGGUUUCGUGGUGUGGGUACAGUGUGCUACCUCUGCAGAGUGUAUAUUAAAUCUAUCGAUAGCCGCGCCGGCGGAUAAGGGCCCAGUUCGUGUCGGUCCCACCGUGAGUCAAUAGUAUUAAUAAUAACUUGAUUAAUGACAACCCCGGUUCGAUAAGUUGGUGGUGAUCGCCGGAAGGAUCACGGUUUGAGAUAAGUUGGUUGUGAUCGCCGGAAGGAUCACUGUUUAUGAUAAGUUGGUUGUGAUCGCCGGAAGGAUCACAGUUUGAGACCAAGUGUUGGUCAUGGUUGUGAUCGCCGGAAUGAUCACCGUUGUAUCAAGGAUACUGAGUGGUUGGAUAUUCGUGAUGUUGUGCGAGAAUCGUGGGUAAAGAUCAAGCUCCUUGUGGUCAUUUAAUAAUUACUACGGUAUUGUUUAUACCAAGCUUGAUUUGAUCCUGAGAUGAUCGUGUAAUGUCCGAGGUUGGUAAGUGAUGCAUGUGAUGGUUACGAGGCAACCCGAACAGAAUAAAUGGUGCAUGUAGUGUCAUCAUGUUGCAUGCUAGUAGCAUCAGAUCUAUAUGUUCAUGCCAUGCUCAUGUUGUUCUAUCUGUAUCAUGUUCAUGUUGUUCAUGCCAUGUUAUUCUGAUGAUCUCAUGAUAAUUCCUGCUUAACCUGUAAUUGCCAUGCUGUUGUUGUCUUAAAUGCUUCUGGUUAUUGUGGGCUUGCAAGUACAUUCAAUGUACUGACCUGGCGUGUCAUGCCAGUUUGCAGGUCAUGCCGGAUUUGAAUGCUUGUUUGCUGUGAAUUCUUUGUUUGCGAUCUAGGAUAAGCGUUCCAGCCAGAGUCCCUGUGAAAUGGAGUUCACCACCGUCGUUGUUCCGCUGCUAGAGUUAUUCCGCUGCUUUGAGUUGUUCUGCUGCUUGUAUAGAGCAACCGUGGUUGGCAUAGUGUCGCCAUGCCGAUGUUAGUCAUUGUAAUAUCGGAACCCUUGUAUUCAUAUUCGUGUUGUAAUAGAGAGCUAGUUUGUUCUAUA